rnacentral:rRNA from 1 species
AUUGAACGCUGGCGGCAGGCUUAACACAUGCAAGUCGAGCGGGGGAAGGUAGCUUGCUACUGGACCUAGCGGCGGACGGGUGAGUAAUACUUAGGAAUCUGCCUAUUAGUGGGGGACAACAUCUCGAAAGGGAUGCUAAUACCGCAUACGUCCUACGGGAGAAAGCAGGGGAUCUUCGGACCUUGCGCUAAUAGAUGAGCCUAAGUCGGAUUAGCUAGUUGGUGGGGUAAAGGCCUACCAAGGCGACGAUCUGUAGCGGGUCUGAGAGGAUGAUCCGCCACACUGGGACUAAGACACGGCCCAGACUCCUACGGGAGGCAGCAGUGGGGAAUAUUGGACAAUGGGGGGAACCCUGAUCCAGCCAUGCCGCGUGUGUGAAGAAGGCCUUAUGGUUGUAAAGCACUUUAAGCGAGGAGGAGGCUACUUUAGUUAAUACCUAGAGAUAGUGGACGUUACUCGCAGAAUAAGCACCGGCUAACUCUGUGCCAGCAGCCGCCGUAA